GCCGGCUUAGCUCAGUGGUAGAGCAGCGGUUUUGUAAACCGUUGGUCGGGGGUUCAAAUCCCUCAGCCGGCA
rnacentral:tRNA from 2 species